UUAAAAAUGAAGCUAAAACACCUAUAAUUGAAGACAGAGAAAUGAAAAAGAAAAAGGGCAAAUAUUUUGAAACAAAAGACAAUAUGGAUGAUUUCGAAAAAUCUUUCAAUGUUGAAAUAGUUAUUUUAAGUAAAGAACAACAAUUUAACGAUGUAUUAGAAAGAAAGAAUAAUAGUAAUUAUUUGCAAAGCCCUUAUAAAUGUGAAAAUUGUUACAAAGGGUACAUGUCUGAAGAUAUUUUGAAAAAACAUUUGCUAUCUCAACAUGAUAAAAGUCGAGGCGACAUAAUAUGUGAAUUUUGUAAAUUUCGUUACAAAGAUAGGAGAGGGUUGAACCAUCAUUUAAAAACACAUAGAUUGAAGUUUAUUUGCAAACAAUGUGCUUAUGUUUCUAGGACUACUUUCAACGCAAAGGAACAUUUUAAAAUGCACGGUGGACAAGUUCAUCAAUGUAGUCACUGCGGGAAAUCUCAUGAGAAGCUGUCGAGUCACCUAUCUCACAUUCGUCUAAAUCACCCGUCUUCUCUCGUUUGGUGCCACAUAUGCGCGCAGGCGUGUGUCGGCGAGUUCGGACUUAACGCUCAUAUGAAGAAAGCGCAUAGGCAUGUAUGUAUGUUCAU